rnacentral:ncRNA from 1 species
GUUAGUAGAAGACUCUGGAAAGAGUCGCCGUAGAGGGUGAUAGCCCCGUAUACGAAAACACCUUUAUCAUGAAAACGAGUAGGACGGGACACGAGAUAUCCUGUCUGAAUAUGGGGGGACCAUCCUCCAAGGCUAAAUACUCCUGACUGACCGAUAGUGAACCAGUACCGUGAGGGAAAGGCGAAAAGAACCCCUGUGAGGGGAGUGAAAUAGAUCCUGAAACCGUGUACGUACAAGCAGUGGGAGCGGACUUGUUCCGUGACUGCGUACCUUUUGUAUAAUGGGUCAACGACUUAUUUUCAGUAGCAAGGUUAAGCGAGUAGUGGAGCCGUAGGGAAACCGAGUCUUAAUAGGGCGUUUAGUUGCUGGGAAUAGACCCGAAACCGGGCGAUCUAUCCAUGAGCAGGUUGAAGGUUGGGUAACACUAACUGGAGGACCGAACCCACGUACGUUGAAAAGUCCGGGGAUGACUUGUGGAUAGGAGUGAAAGGCUAAUCAAGCUCGGAGAUAGCUGGUUCUCCUCGAAAGCUAUUUAGGUAGCGCCUCGUAUCUCACCAUUGGGGGUAGAGCACUGUUUGGGCUAGGGGGUCAUCCCGACUUACCAACCCCAUGCAAACUCCGAAUACCAAUGAGUGCAAUUACGGGAGACACACGGCGGGUGCUAACGUCCGUCGUGGAAAGGGAAACAACCCAGACCGUCAGCUAAGGUCCCAAAGUUACAGUUAAGUGGGAAACGAUGUGGGAAGGCUUAGACAGCUAGGAGGUUGGCUUAGAAGCAGCCAUCCUUUAAAGAAAGCGUAAUAGCUCACUAGUCGAGUCGGCCUGCGCGGAAGAUAUAACGGGGCUCAAACUGUACACCGAAGCUACGGAUGCUUAAUUUAUUAGGCAUGGUAGAGGAGCGUUCUGUAAGCCGUUGAAGGUCAAGCUGUAAGGCAGGCUGGAGGUAUCAGAAGUGCGAAUGUUGACAUGAGUAACGAUAAGGGGAGUGAAAAACUCCCCCGCCGGAAGACCAAGGUUUCCUGUCCCAUGUUAAUCAGGGCAGGGUGAGUCGGCCCCUAAGGCGAGGCAGAAAUGCGUAGUCGAUGGGAAACAGGUUAAUAUUCCUGUACUCGUACAUAUUGCGAUGGAGAGACGGAGAAGGCUAGGCCAGCACAGCGAUGGUUGUCUGUGUUUAAGGCGGUAGGUUAGGUGCUUAGGCAAAUCCGGGCACCUCCUUUUAUUAGGAAGACCGAGAACUGACGACGAGCCCUCUUUUGGGUGAAGUGGUUGAUGCCAUGCUUCCAGGAAAAACUUCUAAGCUUCAGAUAUGAUCGAACCGUACCCCAAACCGACACAGGUGGUCAGGUAGAGAAUACCAAGGCGCUUGAGAGAACUCGGGUGAAGGAACUAGGCAAAAUGGUACCGUAACUUCGGGAGAAGGUACGCCGGCCGGUGUGAAGGACUUGCUCCGUAAGCACUAGUCGGUCGAAGAUACCAGGUGGCUGCGACUGUUUAUUAAAAACACAGCACUCUGCAAACACGAAAGUGGACGUAUAGGGUGUGACGCCUGCCCGGUGCUUGAAGGUUAAUUGAUGGGGUUAGCGUAAGCGAAGCUCUUGAUCGAAGCCCAAGUAAACGGCGGCCGUAACUAUAACGGUCCUAAGGUAGCGAAAUUCCUUGUCGGGUAAGUUCCGACCUGCACGAAUGGCGUAACGAUGGCCACACUGUCUCCACCCGAGACUCAGUGAAAUUGAAAUCGCAGUGAAGAUGCUGUGUAUCCGCGGCUAGACGGAAAGACCCCGUGAACCUUUACUAUAGCUUCACAGUGAACUUUGAACCUAUUUGUGUAGGAUAGGUGGGAGGCUUUGAAGAUAGGACGCUAGUUCU